UACGAAGGGGGGCUAGCGUUGCUCGGAAUCACUGGGCGUAAAGGGCGCGUAGGCGGCCAUUCAAGUCGGGGGUGAAAGCCCAGGGCUCAACCCUGGAAUUGCCUUCGAUACUGUUUGGCUAGAGACCGGAAGAGGUAAGUGGAACUGCGAGUGUAGAGGUGAAAUUCGUAGAUAUUCGCAAGAACACCAGUGGCGAAGGCGGCUCACUGGCCCGGUACUGACGCUGAGGUGCGAAAGCGUGGGGAGCAAACAGG
rnacentral:rRNA from 1 species